CCCCACCAGCUCCAAUUUAUAAGUACAAGUCUCCGCCACCGCCAGUUUAUAAGUACAAGUCACCACCACCACCUUCUCCCGUCUAUAAAUCCCCACCACCACCUGUUUAUAAGUAUAAGUCACCACCACCUCCAGUUUAUAAGUACAAAUCUCCACCACCACCCGUCUAUAAAUACAAGUCUCCCCCACCACCACCUCCAGUUUACAAGUACAAAUCUCCACCACCACCUGUCUACAAGUACAAGUCCCCACCACCACCUGUUUACAAGUAUAAAUCUCCUCCACCACCCGUCUACAAGUACAAGUCUCCUCCACCACCUCCUCCGGUUUAUAAAUCUCCACCACCACCCGUUUACAAAUACAAGUCUCCUCCUCCACCACCUCCAGUUUACAAGUACAAAUCUCCACCACCACCUAUUUAUAAGUACAAGUCACCACCACCACCACCUCCAGUUUACAAGUAUAAGUCCCCACCACCGCCUGUCUACAAGUACAAAUCUCCACCACCACCACCUCCAGUCUACAAAUCUCCACCUCCACCUGUUUACAAGUAUAAGUCUCCUCCACCACCUGUUUACAAGUACAAAUCUCCACCUCCACCUGUUUACAAGUACAAGUCUCCUCCACCACCUCCUCCAGUUUACAAGUACAAAUCACCACCACCACCCGUUUACAAGUACAAGUCACCGCCACCACCUCCUCCAGUCUACAAAUCCCCACCACCACCCGUUUACAAAUAUAAAUCACCACCACCCCCUUACCACUACUAUUACA
rnacentral:lncRNA from 1 species